rnacentral:rRNA from 1 species
GUGCCUCCCUCGGGAACACCCUUGGUUUCCCGACAACGUUGGGGCGGCCUGGCUUUCUUUUCUCCCGGCGACGUAAAACUCGCUCGGGCUAACAAGUGCCGGGCUAAACCAACGCAACAAAAAACCGGCGUGAAAUGCGCCAAGGAACAUGAAAGAGAGUGGGCUCUUCUGGUGUCAGUACUGCUGCGCCAGGACGCGCGUUGUCUUCUUGAUGAGUUUAUAAUGACUCUCGGCAACGGAUAUCUCGGCUCUUACAUCGAUGAAGAACGUAGCAAAAUGCGAUACUUGGUGUGAAUUGCAGAAUCCCGUGAACCAUCGAGUNUUUGAACGCAAGAUGCGCCCGAAUCCUUUUGGUNGAGGGCACAUCUGCGUGGGUGUCACGA